AAAGUUAGUCGGACAGUCGCGGUAGCUUGCUACUGAGGAAAGUCCGGGCUUUACAGAGCAGGAUGCCAGAUAACACCUGGAAGGCGUGAGCCUAUGGAAAGUGCAACAGAAAAUAUACCGCCAAUCUUUUUUAGUUUGGUAAGGGUGAAAAGGUGCGGUAAAAGCGCACCGCAUUGGUGGUAACACUCAAUGGCAUUGUAAACCCCAUCUAAAGCAAGACCAAAUAGUGCUACUAUGAUGUUGCUCGCAUCGUAGCAGGGUAGGUCGCUUGAGCUUGCUGGUGACAGUAAGCCUAGAUAAAUGACUGUCUAUUACAGAACCCGGCUUAUAGACUAACUUUGUUU
rnacentral:RNase_P_RNA from 2 species